rnacentral:rRNA from 1 species
UACGGGAGGCAGCAGUGAGGAAUAUUGGUCAAUGGGCGAGAGCCUGAACCAGCCAAGUAGCGUGCAGGACGACGGCCCUAUGGGUUGUAAACUGCUUUUAUGCGGGGAUAAAGUCAGUUACGCGUAACUGUUUGUAGGUACCGCAUGAAUAAGGACCGGCUAAUUCCGUGCCAGCAGCCGCGGUAAU